UUUGGACUACGAUAUUGACAUGAAGACAUUUAUCGUAAUGCCAAAUUUUAUGUAGUAAUGCCAAAUAUUAUGACAUGGAUGUCCUAUCGAUUAUGCUAUAUAUACAUGGAUGUGCUAUGGAUUAUGCUAUAUAUACAUGGAUGUGCUAUAUGCUGUAUGGAUUAUGGAUGUGUUAUAUGCUGUAUGGAUUAAGGAUGUUAUAUAUAUGAUGUAUGGAUUAAGGAUGUUAUAUAUACGAUGUAUGGAUUAUGGAUGUGUUAUAU
rnacentral:lncRNA from 1 species